ensembl:misc_RNA Y_RNA Y RNA
CGCUGGUCUGAGUACAGUGGUGCUUUCAACUUAUUGAUCACAAUCAAUUACAGAUUUCUCUGUUCCUUCUCCACUCCCACUGUUUCACUUGAUCAGCCUUUA